AUUGAACGCUGGCGGCAGGCCUAACACAUGCAAGUCGAGCGGAUGAAGGGAGCUUGCUCCUGGAUUCAGCGGCGGACGGGGGAGUAAUGCCUAUGAAUCUGCCUGGGAGUGGGGGAUAACGUCCGGAAACGGGCGCUAAUACCGCAUACGUCCUGAGGGAGAAAGUGGGGGAUCUUCGGACCUCACGCUAUCAGAUGAGCCUAGGUCGGAUUAGCUAGUUGGUGGGGUAAAGGCCUACCAAGGCGACGAUCCGUAACUGGUCUGAGAGGAUGAUCAGUCACACUGGAACUGAGACACGGUCCAGACUCCUACGGGAGGCAGCAGUGGGGAAUAUUGGACAAUGGGCGAAAGCCUGAUCCAGCCAUGCCGCGUGUGUGAAGAAGGUCUUCGGAUUGUAAAGCACUUUAAGUUGGGAGGAAGGGCAGUAAGUUAAUACCUUGCUGUUUUGACGUUACCAACAGAAUAAGCACCGGCUAACUUCGUG
rnacentral:rRNA from 1 species